CAUGAACAAAGAGAACAGAUUCAAAGUGUUUGUCAAGUUAAUCCAACAAAUCUGACAGGUCUGAAUGUUUUACUAUCUUCAUGCAACUGGAGUGCACUCUACAACAAAUCAAGCGCACCCAUCCCUGUCAUUGCUCUAUCUCAGCAGGCAAAUCUAUAAGGUAAUCCUGUUCACCUGUGCUCAGUUUGAAUUCUAUUCAGAGAAAGAACUUCAGCUGAAAGCUUCUCCAAAGACACCACUGCGUCAGGAAGGGCGGAGAAGGUUCUCCCCAGGUUCUCCGAUUUCCUCCCUCAGCAAGAAAGUUUUGAACUUAGUCUAAACUGAUCACCAUAAAUUGCUGGGCAGCGCCUGUGAGUGGGCAGCAAAGCCUCGGUGACCCGUCUCCCUUGUCUUG